rnacentral:rRNA from 1 species
AAGUAGAGUUUGAUCCUAGCUCAGGAUGAACGCUGGCGGCGUGGAUAAGGCAUGCAAGUCGAACGGACUUUAUUUUUCCGAUGAUGAGAUUACAUCAAGUCAAAGGUCGUUUAAAGUUAGUGGCGAACGAGGUAGUAAUACAUAGGAACUUCCCCCUAAGUCGUGAACAACUCACCGAAAGGUGAGCUAAUACACGAUAGUCUCUCCGGAGUAAAGUUUUUCGCUUAGGGAAAGGCCUGUGAAGUAUCAGCUAGUUGGCGGUGUAAAGGACCACCAAGGCUAUGACGCUUAGGGGAGCUGAGAGGCUGACCCCCACCGAUGGGACUGAGACACGGCCCAUACACCUACGGGUUAUUGACGGUACCUCAUGAAUAAGGGGCUCCUAAUCUCGUGCCAGCAGGAGCGGUAAUACGAGAGCCCCGAGCGUUAUCCGGAAUUAUUGGGCGUAAAGGGUGCGUAGGUGGCACUGUUAGUCGUUUGUCAAAUCCUUGGGCUUAACCUAAGAACCGCGAACGAAACGGCAGAGCUAGAGAGUGUGAGGGGUAUAGGGAACUAAUAGUGUAGGGGUGAAAUCCGUUGAUAUUAUUGGGAACACCAAAAGCGAAGGCACUAUACUGGCACAUAUCUGACACUCAAGCACGAAAGCGUGGGUAGCGAAUGGGAUUAGAUACCCCAGUAGUCCACGCCCUAAACGAUGAUCUCUAGUCUUUCGGAGUAUCGACCCUCUGAGAGACGUAGCUAACGCGUUAAGAGAUCCGCCUGGGAAAUACGGCCGCAAGGCUAAAACUCAAAGGAAUAGACGGGGACUUGCACAAGUAGUGGAUUAUGUGGUUUAAUUCGACGAUAAACGAAGAACCUUACCAAGGUUAGAAAUCAACGUGAAAGCCCUGAGAAACCAGGGCCCUCGCAAGACUAGUUGACAGGUGAUGCAUGGCCGUCGUCAGUUCGUGGUUUGAAUUGUUCCCUUAAGUGGGGUAACGAACGCAACCCUCGUCGUGUGUUAUAAGUGUCACACGAGACUGCCCCGACCCAAGCGGAUAAAAGUUGAAAGUUAAAAGUUCAUAAAGUUCAUAAAGUAAAAUGCAUUUUGCAUUCACUUUAUAACUUUACACUUUAUAAAACUUUAUAACUAUUUGUACGUUUCGGUCGGGGAGGAAGGGGAGGAUGACGCCAGGUCAGCAUGUCCCUUGAUACCUUGGGCUACACACAUAAUACAAUCGCAAUUACAACGGGCAGCGACGGGGUAACCCUGAGCGAAUCCUAUAAAAAUUGCGCCAGUUCGGAUUGGGGGCUGCAACUCGACCCCAUGAAGUUGGAAUUACUAGUAAUCGCGGGUCAGACAUACCGCGGUGAAUACGUUCUCAAGUCUUGUACUCACCGCCCGUCAAUUCAAGGGAGCCGGGAAUACUCGAAAUCUCUCCAGAAGGAGGGCCUACAGUAAGCUCGGUGACAGGGAAUAAGUCGUAACAAGGCACGGGUAGCGGAAGCUGUUCGUGGAAUAA